GACAGAGGUCCCGAGCGUUAGGCGGAAUCACUGGGCUUAAAGCGUGUGUAGGCGGAUUUGUAAGUACCCUGUGAAAUCCCACGGCUCAACCGUGGAACUGCUUGGUAUACUGCUUAUCUUGGGCCAUCUAGGGGCGAGCGGAACAAACGGUGGAGCGGUGAAAUGCGUAGAUAUCGUUUGGAACGCCAAUGGUGAAAACAGCUCGCUGGGGAUGUGCCGACGCUGAGACACGAAAGCCAGGGGAGCGAACGGG
rnacentral:rRNA from 1 species